UACGGAGGGGGCAAGCGUUGUCCGGAUUUAUUGGGCGUAAAGAGCGUGUAGGCGGCUUUACAGGUCCGUUGUGAAAACUCGAGGCUCAACCUCGAGACGCCGGUGGAAACCGUAAAGCUAGAGUCCGGAAGAGGAGAGUGGAAUUCCUGGUGUAGCGGUGAAAUGCGCAGAUAUCAGGAAGAACACCCGUGGCGAAGGCGGCUCUCUGGGACGGUACUGACGCUGAGACGCGAAAGCGUGGGGAGCGAACAGG
rnacentral:rRNA from 1 species